GCUGGCCCCAAGCUCCGUCAGCUGAGACCUGCUGUUGCCCUACCUCAGCACUUGGUGAACACCAGGUACUUUCUAGCGGUGAGGAGGAUGGGCCCGGCCCCCGCGCUCACCCCACAUCCCACCAUGAGAGCGCACCAGGAGCGAGGGGCUUUCCACUCAGAUCCCCGAGAGAAGUUGCUCCAUCAUCCUGUCUCACCACAACCAUUUCCUUCUCUAAAAACUCCCUUCCCCACAGGCCCUGAGGCCAGCCAGGCUCUUCUCAACACAGAGGGACUAGGCCACGCUGGGCUCAGGAAUGUCCCAGGAGGCCCUCUUACCUCUCCCACGGCCACAGAGGGUGUGUGCCAGGUUGGCCCCAGGCUGGGCCCGGCCUGAAGCUAGCCACUCUCUGAUAGGAAGAGUCACACACUCCCACUGAUGCAAAGCCCUCACACAAAGAGCUCGCUUGAUCCUCACAGCCAGCCCGCAGCGUGGAACAAUUAUCACCAAUGGCCCUUUUCCAGACUCUUCCGGACAGCCAAACUGGAUCACGCCUUUUUCUGAACCCUGGGGACACAGAAAUGCACAAGGUGGACACAAUCUCUGACCUGGAGGAGUUUAGUAGUGCAAAGGGCACGGCAGCGUGUGUCUGGUACUGUAAAGGAUGGGCUCAAGGCAGCAAGGAAACAGUGAAGAAGCGUCAUGUGUAAGAGCAUCCAGGCAAGGCUACAGAGAGGAGUGGUGUCCCACCUGGAUCAGGAAGGGAGCAACAACUGGCCAGGUGGGGUUAGCAAUAGUAACAACCCAAAUAUAAGCUCUUUGCAGUCUCUUACUGUGCACUUCGGCUUCCCUGGCGGCUCAGCGGUGAAGAAUCCGCCUGCCAACACAGAAGACGCGAGUUUGAUCCCUGGGUGGGGAAGAUCCCCUGAAGAAGGAAAUGGCCACCCACUCUAGUAUUUUUGUCUGGGAGAUCCAAUAGACAGAGGAUCCUGGCGGGAUGCUGUCCGUGGGGUCGCAAAAGAGUGGGACACAACUUAGCAACUAAAACAACAACUAUGUGCUUUAUUUCCAUUAAUUUUCAUCUUUAUCACAAUCCUGGGAAGUAGAGAUUAUCACCUUCAUUUUACAGAUGAGAAAAUUGAGGCUUCAAGAGUUUAAAUCAGUGUUGUAAGAAAGGAGAGAAGGUUAGCACUUCCCUUGACAAGGAUGGAAGAGGCUCUCCGGCCUGACAACAGCAUACGGUUAAGGCAUUGCCACCUACUUCGUGGCAUUUAACCACUGUUUUUCACCCGUGGCGGAUUCAAGUUGAUGUAUGGCAAAACCAAUACAAUAUUGUAAAGUAAUUAGCCUCCAAUUAAAAUAAAUAAACUUUUUAAAAAAUAAAAAAAUCAAACUACCAAAAAAAAAAAAGUUUAAAUCAAUUGUCCAAAGUGAUACAACCAAUAAAUACAAAACCCAGAAUCUGAGCCAGGUCCAUUUCUAAGUUUAGACCUAGAUUUAAGUUUAAAAAUACAGAAUGUUAAACAUAAAGGCCUGGAGGCUAUAUCAAAA
ensembl:lncRNA